ACGGAGGGUGCGAGCGUUGUUCGGAUUUAUUGGGCGUAAAGCGCGUGUAGGCGGUCUUUUAAGUCUGAUGUGAAAGCCCCGGGCUUAACCUGGGAAGUGCAUUGGAAACUGGGAGACUUGAAUACGGGAGAGGGUAGUGGAAUUCCUGGUGUAGGGGUGAAAUCCGUAGAUAUCAGGAGGAACACCGGUGGCGAAGGCGGCUGCCUGGACCGAUAUUGACGCUGAGACGCGAAAGCGUGGGGAGCAAACAG
rnacentral:rRNA from 1 species